rnacentral:sRNA from 1 species
UGCCUUGAUGGAGCGUAAGCGCAGAGUU